GCUAAAGUAGCUUACAAUAAAGCAUAACACUGAAGCUGUUAAGAUGGGCCCUAAAAAGCCCCUAAAGCA
rnacentral:tRNA from 1 species